rnacentral:rRNA from 1 species
ACUUUCAACAACGGAUCUCUUGGCUCUGGCAUCGAUGAAGAACGCAGCGAAAUGCGAUAAGUAAUGUGAAUUGCAGAAUCCAGUGAAUCAUCGAAUCUUUGAACGCACAUUGCGCCCGCCAGCAUUCUGGCGGGCAUGCCUGUUCGAGCGUC